CACUUUGCCCAAAAUGGGACCUGCCGUCCGUCCCGCCUCCAUUGCCCUGCAUCACGUGGGAAGUUCGCCCCGGGGUCCUAAACCGAAGUAGCCGCGCCUUGGAGGGGAAGUUGGCGCGCGGAAGAGUCAAAAAAAAAAAACAACGUGCGUCAAAGUUCUUCUUUGCGGGCGCUCAACAGCUGGAGGGCAACGCGGCGGCUCCGGAUUCCAACUGUUGGGGAGCAACUUACUUACUUUCUUUUUUUUUCCACCCUCCCGCCGAGAGGCCACCAUGAACCCGAGGUUGCUGCCCUGGCUGGUGCUCCUGGCCCCCUUCUGCCUUUCGGAGUCCAUACAGGAAACUGAUGUCAGUACCCCUGCUGUCCAUUUAAACACAUCAACAAUAAGCAAUUCUUCAAAAACAGCAAAGACCACGACUGUUACCAAUGCCACCGAAAAAUCAGUGAAAACCACAGUUCCUCCUGAAGUGACUUCUAAGAUCCAAACAAUCACCAACAAGACCAUCCCUGCUGCACAAUCUACCGUUGCCUCUCAAACAGAUAAACCUGUAUUACCUGCCAGUACAAAGCAUUCACCAACUGAAUCUGGGACACAGACGACCGCUGCAGUUCCUGUAACUAAGCCAUCGUCUCCAUUGGUGACGGAAGCUUCAGCAAUUCAAGGCAAGUCAUCGGGGUUCAGCGCCAGCAGCUUCAUCGGUGGCAUUGUGUUGACUCUGGGACUUCUCGCCUUUGGCUACAUUGGUUGCAGAUUCUAUCACACAAAAAGAGGUGUUCAGUAUCGAACCAUUAACAAGGAUCGUCAAAUACAAGGGCUUGCACAGCCUAAUGUUUAGUCCCAUUGGUCACGUUUUGGGGAACGCCAAAGAAUGAAAUCCUCAGCAACAGAUUUGUUAUGAGGAAUUACAGUGACUCUGUUCUCAUGCUAUGAUCAACAUCUUCUCCAGUCACUGUGUCAUGCUGUCUAUAUGUGAUGAACAUGAUGCUAUUAUUUAAAGUCCAUGCUGAAAAGACAGAAGGCAACCACCCACGCCUGUUACUCCUGCUUUUAGCAACACUUUCUCUCUGGGAAAAUAUUAUCUGAUCUGAUAUUGACUGUUUUGUCUCUUUUUGACAUACAUUGAUCUGCAAAUCUGGAGAACUCCACAAGGGCUUUGCAUAUUCAGAGUAUCUUCAAUGAAGCAUGUCAAGGAAUUGAAAUUAUACCUGUUUUUAAUUGCUCUCUUUUGAAACCCUUUAAAGUAAGCAUUGUUGCUUCUUAGCUCUUUUUCUACAGACGAUUGGAGAUGACAAGUCAACAACAGAAUACAACUUCAAGUGUUGGAUCCUGAACCUUUUUGUUUUGCUCUCCAGGUGUUUGUUUGUUUUCAUUCAGGAAAACAAAUCAGACAUCGCUGGGCAAAUAAGAGUAACCCUUUCCAACAGAAGUCACAAAAACAGUAUUUCCAGAUCAGCUGUGUAAAAUUUGUGGAAUAUCAUUGGAAUAUUGUUUCCUUAACAAUCUGGGGAAGCUCAAAUAUUCUACAGGUAGCCUUCAACUUACAACGGUUCAUUCAGUAACUCUUCGAAGUUACAACAGCACUGAAAAAAGCGACUUAUGACCAUUUUUGAUAUUCAGGCGUGUGAAAAACACAUUCAGAUGUUUGGCAACUGACUCAUAGUUAUGAUGGGUGCAGUGUCCUGGGGUCAUAUGAUCAUCUUUUGUAAUCUUCAGGCAAGCAAAGUCAAUGGGAAAACCAGAUUCAUGUAAAACCAUGUUACUAACUUAACAGCUGCGAUGAUUCGCUUAACAGCUGUGGCAAGAAAGGUUGUAAAAUGGGGCAAAAUUCAAUUAACAAACGUCUCACUUAACAACAGAAAUGUUGGGCUCGAUCGUAAGUCGAGGACUACCUGUGUUUGCCUUGUUGACUAUUUAAGAUUUUUUUUUUUUUACUUUGUGGUUCCCAAAAACCAAAUACAACCGAUAGGAGUUCAAAAAUUAAUUUGAUGCUUUUGAGGUGGAGGGAUUUCGUUGUGGUUUUUUAAAACAUGAUAAACAUUUUAAAACAUGAUAGAUGAAUAGGACUGCCCUGAAAGAAGAUUCAUAUAAAAUUGGUGUCUUCAGAUUUUUAUUUUUUUUUCCUGGAAAGGAAGGCCAAUUUCUUCCAGUUUGAAGGCAUUCUGAAAUCAUUCAUUUGAGGUCCAUCUAGUGCAGGGCUAUCAAACUCCCCGAUGUGUCACGUGCUGGCCACGCCCAUGCCCGGUUUAGCAAAGGGGAAAAAAGUCCCGAUACAUCACAUGACUCCACCGUGACGACGUGAGUUUGACACCCGUGAUCUUGUGAGAUCCAUUCUGUUUAAAGUCACCAUGUGAGAAAUUCACCAGGUUAUAUGAGUUAGCUCUUGGACAAGAAGCUGUGUGACUUAUCUGUUAAAUGCAGAUAAUUGUGUAAUUAUUCAUUGUCUGUGUUUACACUUUUCACAGAGAAACUGAUCCAGGAAUAAACAUCCAUAACAUUUAUGCCAAUAAUUAUUUAAUAACUUAGGCAAUUGUGUGUGCUAUGUAGUAAUCAUUAAUGAUAACUAAUUAUUCCAUGCUGUCCAACAUCCAGAGUAUAUUUCUUUCUUCUUCUUUUUUUAAAUUUUUUUAACGUUACAAACAAAAAAGAAAAUACAUUUUCCACCCUUGUGCUAUACAUAAAAAAAAAAGGAAGAUUUGGUAUAUUUCUGAUUCAGAGUAUAUUUCUGAAAUGAGACAAAUUUGACAUUGAUCAGGCAUGGGGCACUUAAAAGAUAAAUGUACUCUGUACAAUUCCCAUCUGGUUGAUUAGAUUCUCAAAGAAGGUCUCAAUGGCUUCUCUCAAGGAGCCCAACAUUCAGAGGACAAAUAUCCAAGCUUUUCUCCAACCAUUUUGGAGAUGAGACAUUUUUUCUUUCUUCAGAAUAAAAGCAGUCUCUGUUGCUGCCAAUGGAAAAUAUUAUUCACACAAGAUGUUGCAUGGAAGAGAUCUGAAUGUGAAUUUCUGUAAAUUUCUGAAAGGUCUAACUCUUUCCAAUGGUGUGAACCCCCAGUGCAACAUUUUGCCUUAUAUCUUUCUUUCAUUCAUGACAGUAGAUAAUUGCUAAUUAUAGAGUUGCUAAUGGAAGUAAAGUAGUAGAGUUACUUAAUGGAAAGGAAAGGGAUAAAACUCGCCUCACCACAGAACUAUGCUUCCGUCGGUCAGUCAAGUCUUAAGGCAGCCUCUACCAUGAUUGUUUAAAUGGAAUUUGAUAAAAGUACGGUAGAUGUUGUAACCGUCUUUAUUUGAUCUUUGCGGAGUUUCAAGCACUGUUACAAGAAAGAGAAAGCUUACUGUAUUGUGUUGCAUUGUAUUAUAUAGUUAACUCUCACUGGGGCGGGGAUUUGAUGGACUACCUUGGUCUUAAUUCUACCUCUUCUUAGUAUGAUCUUUGCUUGCACACUUCCUCUCAAAGCCCCAUAAUAAUCUGGUUUCUCUGGCCCCCUACAUGCAUGACUUGAAUAGAGGUGGCACGCAACAACCUUUUUGUGUAGUUUUCUUCACUGCUGUUUAACUUCACAAGUGCACUGGGGUGCGUAUUUCACAGCUGCAGAAGAUUGAUGAGAUAAAUGGGCCUUUUCCUCUCUUUUUUUAUUCUGUCUGUUUGUAUAUACCAGAAUAAUUAAUGGCUGUGGUACUUGCUUUGCUCACUGUAAGAUGACUACUAAUUGCAUGUCCCCCUUAGGACUUCAGCGAGAGAUCAAAGAUACAGCAGAGAACAGAGCUAUGGUUGAAUUUGUCUCUAACACACAACAACUCGCAACUUGCAAUUUUUAACAUACGCCUUUGGUACUGGUUGUCUCCAAAGGCCAAAUCAUCAAAGCAUUGCUUAUUCUGUAAUACAAUUUUAAAAUGACAUACGACCACCACUGAGAUUGGAACUUUUGUCUCUAACCAAUGCAGUUGUGUGUCAUUGCAUGUCCAUACCCAAUUUUUAUGAUUUCCUUUGGUAAGGAAAAGAAAUAAAUCUGGCAUCCCCUCUUGAUUUGACAGCCGGGAAGGCAAUCACAUGAUCCCAGGACUUUGCAACUAUCAUAAACAGAUGCUGGCUGCUAAGUGCCCAAUUCACAAUCACAUGCAAUGGUUCUAAGUGUGAUGAUUGGCUGUAAGUCACUUUUUUCAGCACUGUCAUAAUUUCAAGCACAUGUUAAGUGAACGGUCAUGUGAGGACUUCCUGUACUUUUUUUAAAAAAGCAGAAUCAAGAACACAGCAGUAUGUUUGUGUCCCUCUCCUUAGGGAAUUUGAGAAAUUUUUACCCCAUUUUGAAGUCUAGUAACUUUUUUUUAACUUGGCUUCAUAUGAAUCUGCUACACCAAUGGUCCAUGCAGGAAUGUUACCACUUUCAAAAUGUGUUGAAAUGCCACUUCAGAUAGAAGGCUAAUUAUGAUGAUAGAAAUAAAUCUGUGAUUCUGUUCACAUGACACAUUGGGCUAAACGAUCAUCUAUCUAUUGACUAUCUCAUGAAUCAAUGGACGAUGCAAGUGUGCGAAUGAUAGUUUGGUGUGUGGAUGAAUUGAGCUAAUUCUGUAUGUUCUCUAUACUAUGAAUAUAAGUUUAUGGUUGGCCUCAUUUAAGAAAAGGAAAAAUAAAGUCUAAAAAUUUCA